CCUACGGGAGGCAGCAGUGAGGAAUAUUGGUCAAUGGGCGCGAGCCUGAACCAGCCAAGUAGCGUGAAGGAUGACUGCCCUACGGGUUGUAAACUUCUUUUAUAAAGGAAUAAAGUGAGGCACGUGUGCCUUUUUGUAUGUACUUUAUGAAUAAGCAUCGGCUAACUCCGUGCCAGCAGCCGCGGUAAUACGGAGGAUCCGAGCGUUAUCCGGAUUUAUUGGGUUUAAAGGGAGCGUAGAUGGGUUGUUAAGUCAGUGGUGAAAGUCUGGGGCUCAACCGUAAAAUGGCAAUUGAUACUGGCAGACUUGAGUACAGGUGAGGUAGGCGGAAUUCGCGGUGUAGCGGUGAAAUGCAUAGAUAUCACGAAGAACUCCGAUUGCGAAGGCAGCUUACCAA
rnacentral:rRNA from 1 species